CAGGCCUAACACAUGCAAGUCGAACGCGAGAGGGACUUCGGUCCUUAGUAGAGUGGCGCACGGGUGAGUAACGCGUGGGAACGUACCCUGGAGUGGGGAAUAACCAUUGGAAACGAUGGUUAAUACCGCAUAAUGUCUUCGGACCAAAGAUUUAUCGCUCUUGGAUCGGCCCGCGUUAGAUUAGUUUGUUGGUGGGGUAAUGGCCUACCAAGACUACGAUCUAUAGCUGGUUUGAGAGGACGACCAGCCACACUGGGACUGAGACACGGCCCAGACUCCUACGGGAGGCAGCAGUGGGGAAUAUUGGACAAUGGGCGCAAGCCUGAUCCAGCCAUGCCGCGUGAGUGAUGAAGGCCUUAGGGUUGUAAAGCUCUUUCAACGGUGAAGAUGAUGACGGUAACCGUAGAAGAAGCCCCGGCUAACUUCGUGCCAGCCGCCGCAGUAA
rnacentral:rRNA from 1 species